GCGGGAAUAGCUCAGUUGGUAGAGCGCAACCUUGCCAAGGUUGGGGUCGCGAGUUCGAAUCUCGUUUCCCGCUCCA
rnacentral:tRNA from 1 species